rnacentral:rRNA from 1 species
UACAUAGGUGGCAAGCGUUAUCCGGAUUUAUUGGGCGUAAAGCGUGCGCAGACGGUUUAACAAGUUUGGGGUCAAAUCCUGGAGCUCAACUCCAGUUCGCCUUGAAAACUGUUAAGCUAGAGUGCAGGAGAGGUCGAUGGAAUUCCGUGUGUAGCGGUGAAAUGCGUAGAUAUAUGGAGGAACACCAGUGGCGAAGGCGGUCGACUGGCCUAUCACUGACGUUUAGGCACGAAAGCGUAGGGAGCAAAUAGG